GUUGUUAUCGUCUUGUGGUUAAGACACGGCGUUGUGACCGUGGUGACUCAGGUUCGAAUCCUGGUCACGGCA
rnacentral:tRNA from 1 species